UAUGUAACAUCUGUAUAUCCCCUGAAAUAUUUUUUUUCUUUUUUCUGGAAAAAAAAAAGAAAUUUGUUCUAUGUUUAUAAGAAACCUAAGAAGGAAGCAUGGCAGAUAUUAUCUCCACUAGCCAACAAGUAAAUUUGGACCCUAAGAUUAAGUGACAUGGCCAGAGUUUCUAAGUGGCAGAGAGAGAGAUUUGUCCACUCAUCUCUAAUUAAAACAUUUUUCUCUAAAGAUGUUUUACCAGCAAGUCACAGCUAAGCAUAGCAAUAGUCAUUGAAGAACACUUCCUGUUAAUAUACUUUAGUUUUACUCUAGAAUCACAUGCAUUCUAGUUCUAGAUUGGUUGCUGAUUUGUUGUGUGAUUUUGAAUAAAUCACUUAGCUCAUUGAUUCUGAAUUUCUUCAUUUAUAAAAUAUUAGGUUGGACAAUGAAGUCCAGUGUUCUUUAUUUGGGUUAAAUUAUACAGCCUUUCAAAAAAAUUUUUUUCUUUCAUUAUUGUUAUGCUAUAUUUAUGUUCUUAGUCAUAAUCUCUCUAGGGCUUAUUGUGUGCUGGAAGCUUAAAUAAACUACAGCUAAUAUGGCUUCAUAAUUGGACCAUGAAAAAUUUUGACAGACACUCAAUGCUGAUUCAUUUUUACCGGAAUAAUAAUGGUUCCACUGUGUUGAUACCCACUUCAUGGGAGCAUAGCUGGAAUAAAAAUAUCAUUAUAUUGUUUUAACUAUCUGUAUUACAUUCUGACUUAAAAUGAAAAUGAGGAGUCUAAACUACAAGUUCUAUUUUAAUUAGCCUCGUAUACAUAAAGGUCAUUUCUUUUCAUCUUGAAGCUGUUCGGUGGAUAUCUCUGAAACGUUGCCAGUUUAUUACAAAGGCGUCUUUAUUGAAUUGCUCUAGAAGCACAAGAAACCAGGGUCCUACUUUACUUUAAAGCUACUUAAUAUUAAUAUUUUAUGUGGAAAUUUGAGUUAUAUAGGCUCUGAAACUCUUGGACAAUUGUUUUUUAUUAUGCACAGUGAAGUGUUUAUAGAUAGUAAACUAGCUGAAGUUUCUUCAGGUCUUCAUUUUAGGCGACUUUUAACUUCCAGGCAAUAUCUUGAAAUAAAUCCCAAUGUACAUGCCCCAUGCUAGUUUUUCAUAUACAAUUUUUCCUGGUGCUUCAUGGGAAGACCCUACAUAAUACUUAGAGCAAAAGAGCUGGUGAAAUAUGUCUUCUCUCAAGUUGAAGAUCAAAUAGCAGAUGUCUAAGUAGGUGCAUGGGCAGCUUCUGUGAAAGAAAGAGCUCAAGCUCUUCAAAUUAAAUGCUCUUUAAAUUAGGCCUAGGUUUUUAGUGCUGCUAAUUUGUUCACAGGACCUUUUCUAAACAAAACUAUACUAAGAUUCUUUUUCAGUACCAUAUGUCAUCCAUCACCACUCCUUUUGGUUAUUCUCACAUUCCAGAGUCUUAAUUGAUCUCCCUAGAAAAUACCCAAUUCCUUUGCCAUAUGUGACGAUGUUACCUAUGUUCCUUGUUGAAAUUAAUUUCUCUACUCUGUGAGGUCCUUCGUUUUGAAAUUGGACCACAGGAAUGGCAUUCAAAACAAAUGUGUCCCUCAUUCAUGAAUUUUUCCAGUCCCACCACUACCCUAGUUAUAACUAGGUAACAACAAUAACAGAUUAAUUGUAUGGCCGUAUUAUAACUCACCAUUAUCCCCCAGCUCGCAUUUGACCAGAAACAAAGACUCAAAUAAUUAGCUGAUAGGAUUUGGAGACAGAAGUUUGCAAAAUUUGUUUUUCUAUAAAAAUAGAAAAAACUGAGCUAGGAAAGGGGGGAGUGAGAUUAGAAAUAUAACUUGGACUACAGUAGUAGAAAAACCAGUGUACUUGAAGCAAGAGUGAGAGAAAAAAGUUUCCACAUGGAGAAAGAAAAUGGAUUUGAGAGCUGGGUGAGGACCUCUAAGAUCCAGCCUGUUGGCCACUGAAUACCCAAAGUCUCCAUCUUCCCAUUCAUCUAUAUCUUCAGGUAAACUUCACUGUAUCAUUUUAUAUGCUAUCACCUUAAAGGGCCAUCUCCUUUCCCAACUUUGAGCUUUUGCUCAUGUCUUUUCCACCUAUCCUGUCUUUCCUCCAAUGACUAGGAUGAUCACAUAUCCCAGUUUUCCCAAGUCAAUCCCAGUUUAUUCCUAUUGCAUCAGUAUAAUAGUAGAAUUAUCUCUCCUGUUGUCCAAAUAUGGACAAUAAGUUAUUGCCUUACCAAUAUCCAUUUUUAGCUUUAAGAUUUUCCCCUUUCUUCAAGGUGGAGCAUAACUGCCAUCUUUACAAGGAAAAUUCCCUAAUUUCAUUAAGUUAUAAUCUGCCCCUUUUCUAUGAUUUCAUAACUAUUUGAAUGGAUAUGAUAAUAUUCUAUCUCUGUAAAGUAGUACUUUGUGAAUACACCCUUCCUCUACUAGACAUGUAAGUGCCAGGGCUACUCCUCUUUUUAGUGUUAUCAACGGGUGAUUUGUAUGUAGAUAGCUAAUAUAAAUUUCUCAAAUUGGUUUAAAAUUAUAUGUCAUUUUAAAUAACAUAAUUUUUGAAUGUAAAAUAGCAGGGACAGAUUUUCUGUAAAACUAGUAUUAGAAUUAAAUUACAUUCUAUGCGCAAAAUAAUUAGCACACUGUCUGCCACACACUAAGUUUCAUAAUUGACAACCAUUUUAAUGUUAUUAUGGUUAUAACUUAUUACUAUAGAUGAUUAGAUUAUACUACAUACUGAUGAAUUUUUUUCCUCUGCAUCACCAGCACGCUUUGUUCAUACAUCUAUUACAGCAUUUUUCAUGCAUUAUUUAAUAUAUGUCACAGCUCAAGUACAAGACACAUAGGACCAAAAGUGUUUUGUAACAAUUUUUUUUUCUAUUUUUUUCUUUUUUUUUUUUCUUGUCUUUUCUGGGCCGCACCCAAGGCAUAUGGAGGUUCCCAGGCUAGGGGUCGAAUCAGAGCUACAGCUUCUGGCCUACACCACAGCCACCACAAAGCCAGAUCCUAGCAUUAUCUGUAAACUACACUGCAGCCUACAGCAAUGCUGGAUCCUUAACACACUGAGCAAGGUUAGGGAUCGAACCUGCAUCCUCAUGGAUGCUAGUCAGAUUUGUUUCCACCCAGCCACAAUGGGGACUCCUUCUAAAAAUUUUAGCACAGUGCCUGGUUUACAGUAUAGCUGAAAAAUAUAAAAUAUAUUGAGUUAGAUUUUUACUGUAAAUGCAACAAAUUCAUUAAUGAAUGAAUUUUCACAUAGACAUAAGGUGAUGGAAAUGAUCUGAAACAAGAUUGUGGUGAUGGUUGUAUAACUACAAACAUACUAAAAUUUAUUGACUUGUACUCUUAAAAGGGAUGAAUUUUAUAAUAUAUAAAUUAUACCUCAAUAAAAUAAUUAAAUUGAUAAAGCAAUCAAAAGAAAUUAACUUGACAACCUACUAAAUUACAGAAUAGUUAUGCAGAAAACCUAGAUGCAUCUCCAACUUGCUAGUCACCCAUUGUUCUUUAGGAAGAAACACUAGAAGGGUGUGACAGAUGUAAUAUGCCUUUGAUG
rnacentral:lncRNA from 1 species